rnacentral:rRNA from 1 species
UACGGAGGGGGCUAGCGUUGUUCGGAAUUACUGGGCGUAAAGCGUGCGCAGGCGGUUUUGUAAGACAGAGGUGAAAUCCCCGGGCUCAACCUGGGAACUGCCUUUGUGACUGCAAGGCUUGAGUGCGGCAGAGGGGGGAUGGAAUUCCGCGUGUAGCAGUGAAAUGCGUAGAUAUGCGGAGGAACACCGAUGGCGAAGGCAAUCCCCUGGGCCUGCACUGACGCUCAUGCACGAAAGCGUGGGGAGCAAACAGG